UACGUAGGGUGCGAGCGUUGUCCGGAUUUAUUGGGCGUAAAGAGCUCGUAGGCGGUUUGUCGCGUCGGCCGUGAAAUCUCCACGCUUAACGUGGAGCGUGCGGUCGAUACGGGCAGACUUGAGUUCGGUAGGGGAGACUGGAAUUCCUGGUGUAGCGGUGAAAUGCGCAGAUAUCAGGAGGAACACCAGCGGCGAAGGCGGCGCUCUGGGCCGGUACUGACGCUGAGGAGCGAAAGCGUGGGGAGCAAACAGG
rnacentral:rRNA from 1 species